rnacentral:rRNA from 1 species
GAGUUUGAUCCUGGCUCAGGAUGAACGCUGACAGAAUGCUUAACACAUGCAAGUCAACUUGAACUUCGGUUUGGGUGGCGGACGGGUGAGUAACGCGUAAAGAACUUGCCUCACAGUUAGGGACAACAUUUGGAAACGAAUGCUAAUACCUGAUAUUAUGAUUUUAGGGCAUCCUAGAAUUAUGAAAGCUAUAUGCGCUGUGAGAGAGCUUUGCGUCCCAUUAGCUAGUUGGAGAGGUAACGGCUCACCAAGGCGAUGAUGGGUAGCCGGCCUGAGAGGGUGAUCGGCCACAAGGGGACUGAGACACGGCCCUUACUCCUACGGGAGGCAGCAGUGGGGAAUAUUGGACAAUGGACCAAGAGUCUGAUCCAGCAAUUCUGUGUGCACGAUGAAGUUUUUCGGAAUGUAAAGUGCUUUCAGUUGGGAAGAAAAAAAUGACGGUACCAACAGAAGAAGUGACGGCUAAAUACGUGCCAGCAGCCGCGGUAAUACGUAUGUCACAAGCGUUAUCCGGAUUUAUUGGGCGUAAAGCGCGUCUAGGUGGUUAUGUAAGUCUGAUGUGAAAAUGCAGGGCUCAACUCUGUAUUGCGUUGGAAACUGUGUAACUAGAGUACUGGAGAGGUAAGCGGAACUACAAGUGUAGAGGUGAAAUUCGUAGAUAUUUGUAGGAAUGCCGAUGGGGAAGCCAGCUUACUGGACAGAUACUGACGCUGAAGCGCGAAAGCGUGGGUAGCAAACAGGAUUAGAUACCCUGGUAGUCCACGCCGUAAACGAUGAGUGCUAAGUGUUGGUCUCAUAAGAGAUCAGUGCUGCAGCUAACGCAUUAAGCACUCCGCCUGGGGAGUACGACCGCAAGGUUGAAACUCAAAGGAAUUGACGGGGACCCGCACAAGCGGUGGAGCAUGUGGUUUAAUUCGACGCAACGCGAGGAACCUUACCAGCGUUUGACAUCUUAGGAAUGAGACAGAGAUGUUUCAGUGUCCCUUCGGGGAAACCUAAAGACAGGUGGUGCAUGGCUGUCGUCAGCUCGUGUCGUGAGAUGUUGGGUUAAGUCCCGCAACGA